CGGCGGACGGGUGAGUAACACGUGGGUAACCUACCUAUAAGACUGGGACAACUUCGGGAAACCGGAGCUAAUACCGGAUAAGAUAUCGAACCGCAUGGUUCGAUAGUGAAAGAUGGGUUUUGCUAUCACUUAUAGAUGGACCCGCGCCGUAUUAGCUAGUUGGUGAGGUAACGGCUCACCAAGGCAACGAUACGUAGCCGACCUGAGAGGGUGAUCGGCCACACUGGAACUGAGACACGGCCCAGACUCCUACGGGAGGCAGCAGCU
rnacentral:rRNA from 1 species